UUUCAUUUUUCUUUUGCUUCAGUUAUGAAGGGUCUCAGAUAAUUCAUUAGCCUAACUCCAUAUGACUGGAGGUGUCCUAAGUGGUGAUCUCAGCUAAAGGUUUGAAUAUUUAAAAACACUGUGUGGAGCAUACUCAGACCUGCACCCACAGUCAGUUCUAAGGAGCUGAUCAGACUGAGUCCAUCCCUCACUGACAGACACCAUGACAGUUGCCAGAGGAGUCCUUUGAACAUGGGCCUUUCCUCUUCAGAAAACGACAUUUUCAGUUGAGAGCUAAGUUGUGCAGCUGGACAGAGUUUGACAUGGACAAGGCAUUCCCAAACCUUAUCCUGGCUAUCUCCUGCAAAUUUCUAGAAUAUUACAAAUUGAGAACCAAAACUAUUUGCUCACAGCUGGUGUGAAGCUAAGGCAUCUUCAUUUGUUGCAAAUAGCCUGCCAAUGCUAAGAAAAGAAUUCAUUUCAUCAGUGGCUUAGAUUACUGAUUAAGUGGGCUCCAAUUUAAGCUGUUUCAAACAACCAUACUAAAAUUAACCAAAUAGCCAUGUUACUUUAAAAGUAGCCUGUAGCAGGCAAUCAAUAAAUAUGUGCUGAAUGGAAGAACAAGUUUGUCUUUACCAGUGUUUAUGAGGUGGGCAGGGAGAUGUUAGAAGACUGGAAAGGCUGUUGGACUUAAUGCCUGUGAUUGAGGGUAUACUGACACCAGUGAUGUGACACAGUGUCCAGUCAGCCCCUCAAUCCCAAAACCCAAGGGCGAUUCUGGAUUACUGCUGCCCACCUGCAUGUCCACAGCCUGUCAGCAAGUCCUGUGAGGCCCACCUCCAAAAUAUAAGCAGAUUUUCUUCUUUCUCCACCUCCACUACCUCAGACAGCUUCAGUUGAAAAGACUAGCCUCCCACACACUGUUUCCACUUACACCCACACAGCAACCUCAGGAACCAUCCUGGGACACUGCUCUACUGACAACCCUUCCGCGCACUCUGCUCAUCCGAGCCCACUAGGCCCUUUAUGACUUGACCUCCCCUUCCCUCACCUCUUUUUGUACCUUCUAUCCCUUGGCUCAAUACUCUUUGGAAACAUUGGCCUGCUUUUCGUUCCUCAAAUGUGCCUCAUGGCCUUUGCACUUGCUGUUUCCUCUGCCUUGAAGGUUCCCCAUGUGGCUCACCACUUCUUCUCUCUCAGGUCACAGCUCAGACGUAAUCUUCUUAGAGAUGCCCUUCCUGGCCUCCUUAGUCACUACUCAGUCACUUCUUAUGAAAUUACCAUGCUUCAUUCCCUUUAUAGCAUUUAUUGUAAUCUGACAUUCUAUGUUUAUUUGCUUACUGUCUCCUUCUAGCAGAGGCAGUGACUUCAUCUGUCUUAUUCACCACUAUUCCCAGCACUUACUCAUUGUUCAACCAAUAAUUGUUGAGUAAAUGAAGUGGAUGUUUCUUUUCCCCUGAUAUUUUCUUCUAUUUGGAUUGUGACAAAAAAAAUCACACAAGUAUAACAUGUGACAUUUGAGAGGAAGGUGAGAUCAUCUAUUACCAUUUCUUCACUUUGGGAUGGGCAAGUGGGGACUGAAGCUCCAAGGUGAUUUGCCCAACAUCACAUAGCUUAUUGGGGCAGAGUCCAGAAUAAAGCCACAUCUCAUGAUUCAAUCUGGCACCCUCUCUACAAAAACCAUGGACAGGGCCAGGGUCCAAAACAAUUGGAUUUUGUGGCCCAGUUAACAGUAGAAAGGAAUGUAUGUUGAAACGUGGAAGGAAAGAUGGGAAAGAAAAUAUUAUAAGACCUCUUAAAAUAACAGAUAUAUGUAAGAAGAUCUCACAAUAACAAAUAAAGGAAAAUAUGUAUAUGGGAAGAGUAGUCAUUAUUAUUAGCAGUGGGAAAAAGGAGUACAAUCUGCUGAGUUCUUUUUUUUAAGUUAAUUUUAAUUAAUUUAUUUCGAGAGAAAGAGAGAAAGCACAAACAGGGAGGGGCAGAGAGAAGGAGAGGCAGAAUCCCAAGCAGUCUCUAUGCCAUCAGUGUGGAGCCCUAUGUGGGGCUUGAACUCAUGAACUGUGAGAUCAUGACCCGAGCUGAGAUUAAGAGUUGGAUGCUUAACCGACUGAGCCACCCAGGUGUCCCAUAAUCUGCUGAAUUCUAUCCCAGGGGCUCCCAACAGUGAAUGUGCAUGUGGGAAGGGUGUACUUGUUACUCUGUAAGACAACAUUGAUGUGGAGGCACCAUGGCAGGCUAGAGGUCACACCUUGCCUCAGACAUUCACAUUCACUUAAACACUGUUCUGGACAAAUACAAACUUUUUACAGCGUCAGAUUCAGCCUAGAGGCAGUUAGUUUGAGUCCCCUGACAUAAAUCCUCAAAAUCUGGUUGGUUCUCAGGUAAUACCAAAUAUAUAAUGAACUUGACUUGUGGUUUAGUGUUGAACAGAUCUACUCUGAUGGGAGAAAUGAUAAAAAGAAGCCAUUGGAUUGCUUCUAAAUCUAAGUCAUCUUCUCUUUCUACCAAAGCCAUGCCCAGGGUUUCACAAAUAAGUGACCACUUAGGCAGAAAAUCACUCAGGAGAUGGUAAGGAGAAGAGGGGGUUGGUUUGUUGGUUAGUGCUAUGCACUCAGCACUCCAUACACACACCAUUUUUUUCUUUAUUUGGACUCCAGGCUGUAACAGGUUGUGUCUGAGCCUGGAAGAUGGUCAAGUACUCUGGAAAGAGGUCAUUCCUGGUCACUGGGGUGGGAAUCCCAGAAUGUGUCAUUGCGUUAGGAAGGAACCCAUGGUUGGGUUGAGCGAGGGCAAUGGAAAAAAGGGAAAAGGUCUAGGGAUUAACAUCAAAGAAGGAUAUAGUAAGAGGAAUUAGAAGAGUAGCAAGUAAUUAAAGGGAGAACUCUUUACAUGAUAAAAUCUCUGAAAGUAAGAAGACUCUUCAGGGCUUCAUCAAUCAGUUUAUUUAGUGAAAUUUAACUUAUACUCCCUAUGUAACAGCAGCUUGAAGGAAGUCUGGCUGUGGAACUGGUCUCAAAGACCCCCCAGCACCCAAGGCAUGUGUGGUGUAGGACACAACUGGGAGUCACAGAGCAAGGUGCCGUGUUGGCAAAGAUUUUGAAGUCUGACAAUGCAACUGGGAAAAAAGAGAACCUUCAUAUACUGCAGAAGAGAAUGGAAAUUGGUUUGACUGUUCCGGAGUGCAAUUUGUUAACACCUUAUAGAGCUAAAAAUGCACCAGUUCAUCAAACCAGACAUACCACUUCUAGGUAGAAACUGUCUCGAGAUCCUCAAAUUCUCUGAAUAAAAAACCAAUUGUUAACAUUCCAACCUGUUGAGGAUCAAUAUUUUUGUAAAAUACAGUAAAAACAUAAAACAAAUAAAACAUAAACAUAGACAAAAUAGGAGCACCUGGGUGGCUCAGUUUGUUAAGCGUCCGACUUUGGCUCAGGUCAUGAUCUCGCAGUUUGUGAGUUCGAGCCCCGCAUCGGGCUCUAUGCUGACAGCUCAGAGCCUGCAGCCUGCUUCAGAUUCUGUGUCUCCCUCUCUCUCCGCCCCUCCCCUGCUCACACUUUGUCUCUAUU